UAUGCUACAACAACAUAAUCUAGUUAACCAGGUCAGGGCAGGAAUGCAGCAGCCUUACAUUAGCUCUUAUGUGUGUUGUGGCUCUUUU
rnacentral:SRP_RNA from 5 species